AAUUCAGUGAAUCAUCGAAUCUUUGAACGCACAUUGCGCCCCUUGGUAUUCCAUGGGGCAUGCCUGUUCGAGCGUCAUUUGUACCUUCAAGCUUUGCUUGGUGUUGGGUGUUUGUCUCGCCUUUGCGUGUAGACUCGCCUUAAAACAAUUGGCAGCCGGCGUAUUGAUUUCGGAGCGCAGUACAUCUCGCGCUUUGCACUCAUAACGGUGGCGUCCAAAAGUACAUUUUUACACUCUUGACCUCGGAUCAGGUAGGGAUACCCGCUGAACUUAAGCAUAUCAAUAAGCGGAGGAAAAGAAACCAACAGGGAUUGCCCUAGUAACGGCGAGUGAAGCGGCAACAGCUCAAAUUUGAAAUCUGGCGUCUUUGGCGUCCGAGUUGUAAUUUGCAGAGGGCGCUUUGGCAUUGGCAGCGGUCCAAGUUCCUUGGAACAGGACGUCACAGAGGGUGAGAAUCCCGUACGUGGUCGCUAGCCUUUACCGUGUAAAGCCCCUUCGACGAGUCGAGUUGUUUGGGAAUGCAGCUCUAAAUGGGAGGUAAAUUUCUUCUAAAGCUAAAUACUGGCCAGAGACCGAUAGCGCACAAGUAGAGUGAUCGAAAGAUGAAAAGCACUUUGGAAAGAGAGUUAAAAAGCACGUGAAAUUGUUGAAAGGGAAGCGCUUGCAGCCAGACUUGCCUGUAGUUGCUCAUCCGGGUUUCUACCCGGUGCACUCUUCUACAGGCAGGCCAGCAUCAGUUUGGGCGGUUGGAUAAAGGUCUCUGUCAUGUACCUCUCUUCGGGGAGAACUUAUAGGGGAGACGACAUGCAACCAGCCUGGA
rnacentral:rRNA from 1 species